GCAAAGGCUUGACUUUAAAACAGACAUGGUGUUUUUGCACAACCGCUGACCAUGAGAACUGUUGUCAUGGCCUUGACUAUAGCCCUUGUGGCAAGUCAGCAUGUGAAUCUUGUCCCUGAGUUGGCAGGGACUCAGACUUAUGUAUACAAAUAUGAGGCUUUGCUCUUCAGUGGUCUUCACCAGGAAGGUCUGGCAAGAGCUGGCA